CGGGACGGGUGAGUAAUGUCUGGGAAACGGCCCGAUGGAGGGGGAUGACUACUGGAAACGGUAGCUAAUACCGCAUAACGUCGCAAGACCAAAGAGGGGACCUUAGGGCCUCUUGCCAUCGGAUGUGCCCAGAUGGGAUUAGCUAGUAGGUGGGGUAACGGCUCACCUAGGCGACGAUCCCUAGCUGGUCUGAGAGGAUGACCAGCCACACUGGAACUGAGACACGGUCCAG
rnacentral:rRNA from 1 species